GCGCUCGUAGCUCAGCUGGAUAGAGUACUGCCCUCCGAAGGCAGGGGUCACUGGUUCGAAUCCAGUCGAGCGCACCA
rnacentral:tRNA from 1 species